UGGGGAAUAUUGGACAAUGGGCGCAAGCCUGAUCCAGCCAUGCCGCGUGUGUGAAGAAGGCCUUUUGGUUGUAAAGCACUUUAAGCGAGGAGGAGGCUACUUGGAUUAAUACUCUAAGAUAGUGGACGUUACUCGCAGAAUAAGCACCGGCUAUCUCUGUGCCAGCAGCCGCGGUAAUACAGAGGGUGCGAGCGUUAAUCGGAUUUACUGGGCGUAAAGCGUGCGUAGGCGGCUUCUUAAGUCGGAUGUGAAAUCCCUGAGCUUAACUUAGGAAUUGCAUUCGAUACUGGGAAGCUAGAGUAUGAGAGAGGAUGGUAGAAUUCCAGGUGUAGCGGAGAACUGCGUAGAGAUCGGGAGGAAUACCGAUGGCGAAGGCAGCCAUCUGGCAUAAUACUGACGCUGAGGUACGAAAGCAUGGGGAGCAAACAGG
rnacentral:rRNA from 1 species